rfam:Ixodes scapularis strain Wikel colony gcontig_1108378805946, whole genome shotgun sequence.
GCCGGGUUGUUCUAAUCGGUUAAGGCGUCGCCCGGGACAGGCGAAGGUUGCGGGUUCAAUCCCCGCUCCUGGCC